AGUGAACGCUGGCGGUAGGCCUAACACAUGCAAGUCGAACGGCAGCACAGUAAGAGCUUGCUCUUACGGGUGGCGAGUGGCGGACGGGUGAAGAAUACAUCGGAAUCUACUUUUUCGUGGGGGAUAACGUAGGGAAACUUACGCUAAUACCGCAUACGACCUACGGGUGAAAGCAGGGGAUCUUCGGACCUUGCGCGAUUGAAUGAGCCGAUGUCGGAUUAGCUAGUUGGCGGGGUAAAGGCCCACCAAGGCGACGAUCCGUAGCUGGUCUGAGAGGAUGAUCAGCCACACUGGAACUGAGACACGGUCCAGACUCCUACGGGAGGCGGCAGUGGGGAAUAUUGGACAAUGGGCGCAAGCCUGAUCCAGCCAUACCGCGUGGGUGAAGAAGGCCUUCGGGUUGUAAAGCCCUUUUGUUGGGAAAGAAAAGCAGCAGGUUAAUACCCCGCUGUUCUGACGGUACCCAAAGAAUAAGCACCGGCUAACUUCGUG
rnacentral:rRNA from 1 species